GAUGAACGCUGGCGGCGUGCCUAAUACAUGCAAGUCGAGCGAACGGACGAGAAGCUUGCUUCUCUGAUGUUAGCGGCGGACGGGUGAGUAACACGUGGAUAACCUACCUAUAAGACUGGGAUAACUUCGGGAAACCGGCGCUAAUACCGGAUAAUAUUUUGAACCGCAUGGUUCAAAAGUGAAAGACGGUCUUGCUGUCACUUAUAGAUGGAUCCGGGCUGCAUUAGCUAGUUGGUAAGGUAACGGCUUACGACGGCAACGAUGCGUAACCGAACUGAGAGGGUGGUCGGCCACACUGGAACUUGGACACGGUCCAGACUCCUACGGGAGGCAGCAGUAGGGAAUGUUCCGCAAUGGGCGGAAGCCUGACGGAGCGACGGCGCGUGAGUGAUGAAGGUCUUCGGAUCGUAAAACUCUGUUAUUAGGGAAGAACAUAUGUGUAAGUAACUGUGCACAUCUUGACGGUACCUAAUCAGAAAGCCACGGCUAACUACGUG
rnacentral:rRNA from 1 species